GUAAAUAAUAGUUCAUCAUUGAUAGAUCUUUUCUAUUUCAGAGACUGAAAAUCAUUGAUUAAAACACAAGAAUUAAGCUCCAACCCCAGUUAAACAGAUCUGAGCAGCUGAUCAAGGAUCAGCAGAAACUCUGCAGAACGGUGCUCCUCCAGCCCAGGACUGGACACCAGUGUUAUGUUGGAGAAAAAACAGUGAGGCUAAAGCAUUCAAAGUGGAAACAUCUGCCGUGGCUCAUUAAUCCAGAAUUGGGAUGGAGGAAGGAGCAGAAGAAGCAGAAGAUCAGAGAUCAGGCAGAGAUCUACUGGUGCCCCUGUGGGAAACCAUUUACCUAAUGUGUUAGUUAAACCAAAGAUUUUCAUCACUCACCUUUACGUUGUUCCAAGCCAGACUUUUGUUCAUCUUUGAAACAUAAAUGCAGAACUUUUUAAUGAAAUCUGAGAAUUUUUUUAAAUCUAAAAUAACGCAUUCACACAAGCACCAUGAUGCAUCAGUGUUGCAUUGGCGUGAGAGCUGGCGCUUUUGGUGCUUUUGAGAAAAUCCAUUGGGGAUUCCUAAUUUCUGAAUAGAUUUUUUUUGCUGUUGUUGUUGUUUUUUGCGUACACAAGGCAUCUGUUAAAAAAUAUCUUCAUUUGUGUUCUGCACAAAAGGGUGUUAUGGGUUUGGGGUAACAUGAGGGUAAGAAAUUAAUGACAGAAUUUAAAUUUUUGGUUGUUCUAAUGUGGUUAUAAUUGUUCAUAGUUUAUUGUCUUGAAAAAUUAUAUUUAUACAGAAAGAUGGAUUAAUUUGAUAAGUUUAUAGUAAAGACUUUUAAAUUGAUUUAAAAAAAUCAAAAUAAAUUCUACUCUUUUGCAAGUUCUAUUAAAAAAAUUACUGAUGUACUGGUUUCCACAAGAUAUUGGGCAGCACAACUGUUUUAAACAUUGAUAAUAAUCAGAAAUGUUUCUUGAGCAGCAAAUCAUAUAUUAUAAUGAUUUCUGAAGAUCAUGUAACACUGAAGACUGGAGUAAUUGUGUUAAAAAUUCAGUUUACAGUCAUAAAUUACAUUUUACACUGCAUCCACAACAAUUAUUACUGUUUUUACGGUCUGUUUAAUCAAAGGAGGCUUAAGAUGUGAUCAAGAAUUUACAUGAAAGAUGUAAUGUGUCAAUAAAUGUGUCAAUAUACUGUGAAUUGUCUCAUUUUCACUAAUUAGGAAUAUGAAAAAUAAUGCACGGUUGUUA